AUGCUCACUUCAGCAGCAAAUAUACUAAAAUUGGAACAAUACAGAGAAGAUUAGCAUAACUCCUAUAUAAGGAUGACACGGAAAUUUGUGUAGCAGUCCAUAAUUUU
rnacentral:snRNA from 1 species